rnacentral:rRNA from 1 species
UUCACGGAGAGUUUGAUCCUGGCUCAGGACGAACGCUGGCGGCGUGCUUAACACAUGCAAGUCGAACGAUGAACCACUUCGGUGGGGAUUAGUGGCGAACGGGUGAGUAACACGUGGGCAAUCU